CAGAUGAAGCAAGUGGUGUUGUAUAUCCUGUUGAAUAUGAAGAAAUCUUAAGAAUCUUAAGCCCAGCACUAAAAAAAAAAAAAAAAAAAGCACACACUUUCUGUGCUAUUUUUCCUUUUUCAAAGUUGUGUACUGAUUUUAUUGAGCUUUCCCAAGAGACCUCUGUAUUAUUUUUCCCCCUCUGUUGCCCCAUGCAGACUGACAUUUAACACGUUUUGAUGUUGCUGUUCUGUUUGGCACUGGCAAAAGGCAGAGGUGGGUGUGCCCAGCUGAGAUGGGACUUUCCAAAGAUGUCACAAUUGAUUGAACUGUGACAGAGCAGGCAGGAAGGCAGCAGUUUCCUCAUGCAAGCAGAGUAGGCAAUCAUAUUUUAAAAGAGUUUACUCCCAGUCCAACCAGAGGCAGCAGAAGAAAAAGCACCUACAUAAACAGAAAGAGCCUUGGGGUUUCAGUAAUAGACUCAUGUUCUAGGGAAGAGAUGGACAGGCACCAUGCUUUGAAGACUCAUCUCAGUGUCACAGGACCUAUGGAAACCCUCCCUCUUUUCAGUUUUCCUGUGCAAACAGCAACACACAAGCCACUUCAAGUGCUAUGAGGGCCCCAAUAGAUGGGCCCUGUACAGCUCAUCCCUGAGCACAGUGAGUGUUGGAGUCCCAUGCAGUGGACCAUGCACUAUGUCAUCCACUGUCCUGGAAUCUGAUGCCUGCUCAACCUGGAAACCAGACACAACUACUUGCUUCCUACAACCUGGAGAAGACUCAGAAGGGACCUCAUUGAUGUCUAUAAAUACCUGAUAGGAGGGUGCAGAGAGAACAGAGUCAGGCUCU
rnacentral:lncRNA from 1 species